GGGAAGGUGGCUCAGUGGUAGAGUGCUUGCCUAGCACGCAUGAGGCCUUGGGUUUGAUUCCUCAGUACCCCA
rnacentral:tRNA from 1 species